CCUAAGUAGAGCACCCUGCUGGGGUGGACAAUUUGAGAGACUUGUGGGAGUUUUCAAAUCGGCAUUUCACAAGACAGUUGGAAACGGUACCUUGAAUUUUGAUGAGCUGUCUGCGAUCGUAUUGGAUGUUGAGACGUCUAUCAACGGUCGUCCGUUAGAUUAUGUGGAAGAUGAUAUCCAACUCCCUCUACUCACGCCCAAUUCCUUUAUGUUCCUUCAACCUACUCAGCCGUUAGAAUUGGAGCCACAUCACCUUCAGGAUACUACGUUACGAAAGCGAGCUAGAUAUCUGUCUAAAGUGAAGGAUUCGUUAUGGGCAAGAUGGAGUAAAGAGUACGUACGAAGUCUGCGCGAGAAACAUCGAUUACUACAGCAAGAUAAGAAGACCGAAUCACCAGAGGUUGGC